rnacentral:rRNA from 1 species
AUUGAACGCUGGCGGCAGGCCUAACACAUGCAAGUCGAACGAGUGGCGGACUGGUGAGUAAUGUCUGGGAAACUGCCCGAUGGAGGGGGAUAACUACUGGAAACGGUAGCUAAUACCGCAUACCAUCGGAUGUGCCCAGAUGGGAUUAGCUAGUAGGUGGGGUGACGGCUCACCUCGCCGACGAUCCCUAGCUGGUCUGAGAGGAUGACCGGCCACCCGGGAACUGGGACACGGUCCAGACGCUUCCGGGAGGCAGCGGGUGGGAAGAUGGCGCAAUGGGCGGAAGCCUGAUGCAGCAAUGCCGCGUGUAUGAAGAAGGCCUUCGGGUGGUAAAGUACUUUCAGCGAGGAGGCGUUACUCGCAGAAGAAGCACCGGCUAACUCCGUGCCAGCAGCCGCGGUAAUAC